UACCCUUGUUUUACAUAACAAUAUACACCUACGAAGGUUCAAAUUCCUUUGCAUAAAAACAUUUAUUAUACACGGAAUUGAAGGAUGCGUAUGAUGUUUUUAUGAGAUGAGUUUAAGAAAUUUGAAGUCGCUAUCAGUUCAAGGAUAAGAAAAGAAAGAAGUCAACGCAAUCAACUUUCGUUUCGCGAAAACGAUCAUUAUCCACAUCCAUAUAUGCAAGAAGAAGAAACAAAUAAAGUGGUCAAAUCAUAGACUCUGAUAUAUAAUCAUCAUUGGUAUAACCAUCAAAAAUUUACAAUGUGUGACAUACCAGCUUCUAUAAAUUCUUUUACAUGCGUUUGUGUACAAAUAGAAGAUUGGAUUAAUUGGUUUUGGGACGUUAAAGUUGGUGAAAUAACUGAGUCGUAUUUGCGGUUCUUUCUUGUCAAUAAUGUCUUAAAGCGAAACAAUUUGUAUCAUCAGUAAAUUGGACUUUGGACUUUCAUUUUUGAAAAAAUGUUAUGUAUUGUACAGUAAAUAUAUCUUUUU